CUCCUGUUUUUAAUGAAUCUAUUUAUUUAGCUUUGCCAACUAGGGAGGGGCACCACAACAGCAUAUGCCAAUUACUGUGGGCCCUUUUUACCUAACCCACCCUGUCAACUUUCCCUGUGGGAGGAAACCGGAGUACCCGGGGAAAACCCACGGCUUUCGGCAGAGCGUUGACUUUUUACUCUUUUCACAUGGGGACUGGGUUUGAGUCGCACUGGGAAGGUACUUAGUGAGACUCGAACCUGCAGCCUCAGAGGUGAAAGGCAAGUGCGCUAACCACUUGGCCACCGAAGCCCCUAAAAUCGAAACGUUGGGAAACGGAGCAACAUUCUGGAGACGACAAUAGAUAGCUUAAGAUCUCUGACAGCUAGGACGUCAGGGUUAAGCAGAGGACUGGGACUAGGAUGUCG
rnacentral:lncRNA from 1 species